AUUUAACGCUGGCGGCAGGCCUAACACAUGCAAGUCGAGCGGAUGAAGGGAGCUUGCUCCUGGAUUCAGCGGCGGACGGGUGAGUAAUGCCUAGGAAUCUGCCUGGUAGUGUGGGAUAACGUCCGGAAACGGGCGCUAAUACCGCAUACGUCCUGAGGGAGAAAGUGGGGGUUCUUCGGACCUCACGCUAUCAGAUGAGCCUAGGUCGGAUUGGUGAGUUGGCGGGGUAAAGGCCUACCAAGGCGACGAUCGGUAACUGCUCUGAGAGGCUGAUCAGUCACACUGGAACUGGGACACGGUCCAGCCUCCUACGGGAGGCAGCAGUGGGGAAUAUUGGCCAAUGGGCGAAAGCCUGAUCCAGCCAUGCCGCGUGUGUGAAGAAGGUCUUCGGAUUGUAAAGCACUUUAAGUUGGGAGGAAGGGCAGUAAGUUAAUACCUUGCUGUUUUGACGUUACCAACAGAAUAAGCACCGGCUAACUUCGUG
rnacentral:rRNA from 1 species